rnacentral:rRNA from 1 species
UACAGAGGGUGCAAGCGUUGUUCGGAAUUAUUGGGCGUAAAGGGCGUGUAGGCGGGACGGUAAGUCGGGCGUGAAAUCCCUAGGCUCAACCUAGGAACUGCACUCGAAACUACCAUUCUUGAGUGUCGGAGAGGAAAGCGGAAUUCCUGGUGUAGAGGUGAAAUUCGUAGAUAUCAGGAGGAACACCAGUGGCGAAGGCGGCUUUCUGGACGAUAACUGACGCUGAGACGCGAAAGCGUGGGGAGCAAACAGG